rnacentral:rRNA from 1 species
ACACAUGCAAGUCGAACGAAGCACCUUGAUUUGAUUCUUCGGAUGAAGAUCUUGGUGACUGAGUGGCGGACGGGUGAGUAACGCGUGGGUAACCUGCCUCAUACAGGGGGAUAACAGUUAGAAAUGACUGCUAAUACCGCAUAAGACCACAGCACCGCAUGGUGCAGGGGUAAAAACUCCGGUGGUAUGAGAUGGACCCGCGUCUGAUUAGGCAGUUGGUGGGGUAACGGCCUACCAAGCCGACGAUCAGUAGCCGACCUGAGAGGGUGACCGGCCACAUUGGGACUGAGACACGGCCCAAACUCCUACGGGAGGCAGCAGUGGGGAAUAUUGCACAAUGGGGGAAACCCUGAUGCAGCGACGCCGCGUGAGCGAUGAAGUAUUUCGGUAUGUAAAGCUCUAUCAGCAGGGAAGAAAAUGACGGUACCUGACUAAGAAGCACCGGCUAAAUACGUGCCAGCAGCCGCGGUAAUACGUAUGGUGCAAGCGUUAUCCGGAUUUACUGGGUGUAAAGGGAGCGUAGACGGAGUGGCAAGUCUGAUGUGAAAACCCGGGGCUCAACCCCGGGACUGCAUUGGAAACUGUCAAUCUAGAGUACCGGAGAGGUAAGCGGAAUUCCUAGUGUAGCGGUGAAAUGCGUAGAUAUUAGGAGGAACACCAGUGGCGAAGGCGGCUUACUGGACGGUAACUGACGUUGAGGCUCGAAAGCGUGGGGAGCAAACAGGAUUAGAUACCCUGGUAGUCCACGCCGUAAACGAUGACUACUAGGUGUCGGGCAGCAAAGCUGUUCGGUGCCGCAGCAAACGCAAUAAGUAGUCCACCUGGGGAGUACGUUCGCAAGAAUGAAACUCAAAGGAAUUGACGGGGACCCGCACAAGCGGUGGAGCAUGUGGUUUAAUUCG